rnacentral:rRNA from 1 species
UCGAGGGGUAACAGGGUGCUUGCACCGCUGACGACCGGCGCACGGGUGCGUAACGCGUAUGCAAUCUGCCUUACACUGGGGGAUAGCCUUUAGAAAUGAAGAUUAAUACCCCAUAGUAUUAUUAGUUCGCAUGGAUUAAUAAUUAAAGGUUACGGUGUAAGAUGAGCAUGCGUCCUAUUAGCUAGAUGGUGUGGUAACGGCACACCAUGGCAACGAUAGGUAGGGGCCCUGAGAGGGGGAUCCCCCACACUGGUACUGAGACACGGACCAGACUCCUACGGGAGGCAGCAGUGAGGAAUAUUGGACAAUGGGCGGAAGCCUGAUCCAGCCAUGCCGCGUGCAGGAAGACUGCCCUAUGGGUUGUAAACUGCUUUUAUACAGGAAGAAACCACGCUACGUGUAGCGUUCUGACGGUACUGUAAGAAUAAGGAUCGGCUAACUCCGUGCCAGCAGCCGCGGUAAUACGGAGGAUCCAAGCGUUAUCCGGAAUCAUUGGGUUUAAAGGGUCCGUAGGUGGAUAAUUAAGUCAGGGGUGAAAGUUUGCAGCUUAACUGUAAAAUUGCCUUUGAUACUGGUUAUCUUGAAUCAUUAUGAAGUGGUUAGAAUAUGUAGUGUAGCGGUGAAAUGCAUAGAUAUUACAUAGAAUACCAAUUGCGAAGGCAGAUCACUAAUAAUGUAUUGACACUGAUGGACGAAAGCGUAGUAGCGAACGGGAUUAGAUACCCCGGUAGUCUACGCCGUAAACGAUGGAUACUAGCUGUUGGGCUUCGGCUCAGUGGCUAAGCGAAAGUGAUAAGUAUCCCACCUGGGGAGUACGUUCGCAAGAAUGAAACUCAAAGGAAUUG